rnacentral:tRNA from 1 species
GAAAUAUAAUGAUUAAAUGAAAGCUGCUAACUUAUCAUUCAAGCGGUUAAAUUCCGUUUAUAUUUCU